CUAAAGAGAGAACUGUGUAGUGGCAAAGGAGCUGCUGGGCUAUGAAGGUCUACAAGCUGAAUCUGCAGGAGGAUAGCAGUACGGCAGGAGCCUGGGGUGUGCAGAUGGCUUACGUUGUUUGUUUUGUUUGCCUCUAUGUCAGCUUGGAAGAUAAUCAAAUCAACGUGGAGAGUUAACAGAUCCUGAAUUAAUCACCUCCUCUUGACUAUUGAACCCUUCUCAUCCACCAUCAAGAAAACAAUACAAAAAUGUCAACCUCUGAAGCCUCACCUCCUUCAGCAGCACUCCACCCGCUGGUACUAGCGAUGGCUGGGUCACUGUGGGCACUGAAUUUCAGAGGAGGAAACAGUACAGAAAAAUCAGAACUGGCCAAGAUCUUUAACCUGCCUCUGCCUCUUUGAGUCACAGGUUCAAAUCAGCAUCCAAAAGUUUACACAAAGGCUAAUCACAUUUUGGACUCUCUCCUUAAAGCUAAAGAAGUAUUUUUACUUUUAUUUGAAUCUUUAAGGUGCGGUUGUUUUCAUGUGUCCCAUAGAGCGAAUAAGUGCCUCCUGUUCACAUGGCUUAUCAGAUUUAAUUAGUGUUGGUCUGUACGGAUGAUUUAAUUAGAAAGUAUGCCAUGUGUGUUCCAGUCAGCAUCAGUGAACUCCAAGCCUAUUACUAUUGUGCUUAUGACUACUAAUAUAUUAUGUUGUAAAUACCAAUAAACUGUCUUCUGCAGAGGGUACAGGUGCGACGUGCCUGACUAUGCUCGAAGAAAACUGAAGUCAGUUUUAUUGCCAGAUAAAAUAAUUUCAAGUUCCAUCCCCUGAGCAGGGUAGAUAUGUUGUGUUAUCAAGUUGUCAGAACUCCUAUAUGGCUUCAUUUAUUUUCUUUAUGGAAUCUGAAAGUUGUGUCUGUGUUUGCUAUUGUGGCUUAGUUUCUGCAUAGAUCUUUAAUGUAUUUGUGGAGGUCUCAUUGACAACAAUAAAAAUUAAUACUGGAGUCAGUGGAAUGCAAAAUACCUACCUGCAAAACAGCGACUAAUCCCAUUCAAACAAGGAAUGGAAAGUGUUUGACUGAAGAGAGUUGUGAGGGGAUGGUAGCGGUAGGGGAAACUGUAAUUUUGCAGGAUAAUAAACUAGAGGAAAAAAUAGAGAACAAAAAUGUUCAUGGUAAAACAAGAACAGCAAGUAUCUUGAAUGAGUUACCCUCAAUGCUACAAUAUGGUUUCAUAUAAACUUUGUGAUAAAACUGCAGGAGAAAGUUGGAUGUAUAUAGGUCCUUAUGUAUUUAAAGUCUGAUUAAGUUUGAAAUGUGUAUGCAGGAACCUGAUAAAUGUGAGUCCCUUGUGACUGAAGGGAAGGAAGAAGGGACAGUGCCAGGAAAAAAAAAGUGAAACAGUAUAAUAAAGGAAAAGUAAAAUGGAUAAAUUCUGAGAUGAAUAGCAUUGUGCAAUGAAGAAGUAAAAAAGAUGAAAAAAAAAAUCAGUGAAAGGGCUCUCGAAAGUGGAUUGUACUGUUGUGAUAUUUCCUUCAAGGCAGACAGGAAAAAAUAGGGUUUGAAAUUGCAGUGAUCAGGUUCAGCAGAUGUUUGCCGGAGUAUUGCAAUAUUUAUAUAACUCUGGCUAUGUGGUGAUUAGGAAGGUCUUCCCAACAAACUCUUACAUUAACCCCUUCAUGAUCUUUUUGAAAGGAUGGAUAAACAGUCAUAUAGUAAAUAAAAAACUUGACCAUGACUCCUGAAAAUGUAAGUGAAGGAACAGAGACCACAAGUGCUAUUACUUGCUUUGGACUUUGUAUUCUAGUGUUUGGCAGCCCCUGGACAUCUGUAAGCAGAACAAUUCAAAGUGGACUGUAAAAAGAGUUGGGGUGAGGCAUUUUUACAAAUCACUUAUUAGGGAUCUGAGAAUUCUAAUUAUAUUUUUUACAUGGGAGGAUUUCCUUAACCUUAUUCUGUGUCAGGUAAUGAUGGCUUCUGUUGACAGAGCACUAGAAUAACUGGAUUAAGAAUGUGAACCGCUAUACUUCUUCUCGUGUUCCAUUGAAUAAAUAUUUCCAAAGCCUGCCCAAGGUAUUGCCCGAUUUGGUUCCACCUGGCGUUUUGAAACACGUUUCAUUUAAUGUGGUUAGUAUAGAAUUACAAUUAUAAGGCCAAAUGCAGAAGUGAGACUAAACUGGUGCGUAAUUCACACCUCUUUCUACCAUGUAUGCUAUGCCCUUCGGCUCGGUGCUGAGUUUGGCGUGGAGAAUUUGAACAGUGUAUGUGCUAGAUGUUGCAAUGUGUGGGGAAACCCAAACGUUGCUUGAAAAUGUGCACAAAUCAAAGAAAGCUGGGAAUUACCUAAGAAGACCAAGUAGGCACCAAUAUUAUUGGGGUUAUUUUUAAUUUCUCACUAAUUUCUUUAAUUUAAAAACCAAUGUGACUCACUGUAUUCAGAUCAGUUUGCCUCAAAGUCUGCGUUCAAGAAUAAUAUAUUUCUAAAUAAUGUUUAGAAUGAUUUCAUGGCUCUCCCACUUGGUUUAUUUGCUAAAGAAAAUAAAAAUGAA